CCACAAUGAAGAUAGAAGAUGGCU
rnacentral:miRNA from 1 species